UACAGAGGGUGCGAGCGUUGUCCGGAAUUACUGGGCGUAAAGGGCGCGUAGGCGGUUCAAUAAGUAGGAGGUGAAAUCUCACGGCUCAACCGGGAGGCUGCCUUCUAGACUGUUGGACUUGAGCACGGUAGAGGCAGAUGGAAUUCCCGGUGUAGCGGUGGAAUGCGUAGAGAUCGGGAAGAACACCAGUGGCGAAGGCGGUCUGCUGGGCCGUUGCUGACGCUGAGGCGCGACAGCGUGGGGAGCAAAC
rnacentral:rRNA from 1 species